rnacentral:lncRNA from 1 species
AGUUGCAGGUACAGGUUAUUCGAUGAUCAUGACGCGAGAGCGAUGCUUGCUUGCGUUGAGUUCUUCUUCUGCUUCUUCUUCGAUCAGGGGAUAGGUUCCAGGUCGGCAGCCUGGGCUAGCAGGGUGGAUGUCGUUUGAGUUUCUGUUUGUGAUUCAUCCGUAGUCGGAUGAUGCUCUGAUGUAUUGUGAUGUUGUAUUCGUGUGGCAUUGUAUGCCUUAUGUAUGUAUCCCCAUCUAUUAUGUAAUGUUGAUGUAAUGAUAUCCACCUUGCAAAAGCGUUUCAAUAUGCGGGUCUAUCCUUGGUGGGACCUUCGAGUUACUUUUGGAUAGGGUCGCAUAUUGGGCGUGACAAGUUGGUAAUCAGAGCCUCGACCGACCAUAGGAGCCCCCUUGAUUGUUGGCCGUUGUUGAGUCUAGAAAAAAAACUAUUUUGAGUCUUAGAAUUAUAUAUAUCGGAGAGUAGGAAUUCUUUUUACUCCUCAGCCCCCUUCGUCGCUCUGGUGAGGACUCUUGACGUAGAUGUUUUGUCUUUCCUCUCCUCAAAUUUCAAUAAAUUUUUUUAGGAUCACGCGGGUAUCUUGGAAUCGUUCUGAUGGUUUUGUGACGAGAAUAUUGUUCUUGGUGCCUCCUGUCUAUUUAUGUGGCUUUGACCCGGGGAGUUGAGCUCCGAGGUGUUGUCGUCACAAUUUUAUCGUUGCAGUUCUGGAAUACCUGAGAUUUGCCGACAUCGAAAAUCUCUUUUAUGCAGUUGUUGGUGAGAUAACCCCGAUAACCCAGUACUGGGGCGAGCUCGAGAGUAUUGCCAUAACUCGUAUAACGGAUGCUUUUCGAAGGUUGAGGUACACGAUUUCCGAAGGUUUCUUGGUUAUGUGUUGACGGAUGGAUACAGCUUGGAUCUAGGUAUUGUUAGUUUGGGUGAGAUAUAUUGCUUCCCCUGUAUCCCCAACACCAGAUUGCAUAACCAGAAAGUUUCGGGAGUUUUAUAGGUGGGAAUUCAAGUAGCUCCUAGAAUAUCUUUUCGACAGAUGCAUGAUAUGAGAUUGGGGUUCGACGUCUAGUGGUCCGCCUUUCCACGGUCGUUUUUACAGUGGUCUCGUUGUGUCUUAAAGAACCCUUGGCUAUGCUGGUUCGGGGACACUUCGUAUGUCAUGUGCACUGCCUUGUACAUGAUGGUGCUGUACAAUCGAGCCCGUGUGGGCCCCACCACGGAAACUUCGGAUGAAAUCUCUAUCAUAUGUUUGUUCCGGCUUAUUCUGCAAGCCAAAUCCUUUGUUUUGUUUUAUUUGUGGUAUUCAAGUUGCUUCGAAGUCAAGUGUUGAUCCAUACCUUCCCUAAACGGUGUUCUCAUAUUUCUAUGGGAGUACUAAUCCUUUUGAUCAUCGAGUUUGUCAUGUUAAUUCUUUUCCAACCGGUGCGCUUCUCUUCGAGAUGAACCCAUCAUUCUCCCCAUCCGCAAGAUCAAUUCUAAGUUUUCUCAACGUUGUUCGUUUCAUUCGUCCUCAAGUUGCCUUUGUUUUCUCGCCCUCCCACCCUUUUCUUCAAGGACCCAGAUUUCUUAAUCAAGUAUCCAUUUAUUCAUGUGAAGUCUCUUCACUCUUUUCAAUCAAUGUUUUGAUCCGGUGAUCCCUCGUGAAGAUGCUCAUGAGCUUCAAGUUCAUCAAUCUUCAUUCUCGUAUUCCUCUCCGGUGGAUUUAAUUCAAGCUUUCGGUGUUGAUCAUAUCCCUUUCCUCGUUUCAAAUGUUUUUCCACGUCGGUGCACCUCCUAAUUGUUCACCUCUCUCUAUUAUUAUCCGGAGUGCUCAAGAUAUCUCAGAAGACUUGUGUUUCCAUUCUUAAUCCGUUCAAGAUAUUUCGAGGUUGUUAUCUCAUUCAAGUCAUUUAUUUCAACCGGUGCAAUUUCCCUUUCAAGUAAUUUUUUUUCGAAGGUGUAUCUUUUGAGUGGGCCCUAACCCACAGGUCUGUUCCCAGGAUCUUACCUGACUCUUCUAAUUCUUCCCGGAGCUAUUCCCAUAUUCUUUUCCAAGAUUGACGUAAGAAUGAAUUAUCAUCAGUCAUAUGUCUUUCUCCAAGAUCUUCAAAUUCUUUUCAUCGUUGGCUCAACCCCUUCGCUUUUCAUUCUCCCGGAGUAUCUCAACAAUUGUCAUGGUGGUUCUCAUCAUCAUUCUCAACAUUUGAAGACCGAAGAAGUGUUUCCUCUAAAUCUUGGUCCAUUCUCUUCAAGAUUCAUGGUUCUAGCUUGAUGCCAUCCUCUCAUAAUUGUUUUCGAUUGUGAAAAUUCUUUUCACCCAUCCGGAUCUAUUCAGGAGUCUUUUCAGUUUGAUUCUCCGGAGCACAUCAUCUCAGAAUCAUUCAUUCCAGCUUUCAGCUCUCGUUCUCCAAAUCAUACCGGUGCAUCGUUCAAAUACCCUCUAAUCAGGUCAUGAUCUCUUCGUUCUCAUGUAUCUAAAUUCCCUCAAGUAUCUUCAUUCAUUCUCUAAUUCUUACCGGUGAUUCACCCCUUUACUUCGUUCAUUUUCAAUUCGUACGGUCGUUCGUUCAAGAUUUCACUUCCUUCGUUAGCAUAUCAAAUAUUCAUUAUUUCCAAAUCCUACCGGUGGUUCCUUGAAGACCUUCACAAGUUUAUGCUAUAUCUCUCUUAAUUCUUUCUACAAGAAUAAGUAGUAUGCCAAAUCCGUUGCUUGUCAUCAAUUUAAAUUGGUGAAGGAUAGGCAUGACAUAAUUCUUAUUCUUGUUUCAUCCAAGUGAUUAAUUCCUUCUUCCGGAGAUUGUUCAUGAUGAAGUAAUUCUCGGUUCUAGUGUUUCACCUUUUCUUUUUCCGGAGUUCCAAGUUCUCUCGGUUAUAUCAUCGCAAAGCUCCAUCUAAAUCAUCACAAGGCUCACCUUGUUCUUUCAACUUCUCUUUCUUUCUAUCAUUCUUUUAUUACCGGAGUUCUCCAUGGAAGAUCUACAUGAUGGUUCGUCAAGGAUUUCUUUCAUUCUCAUUUUGUUCUUCAAGAUUUCUCUCGGAGUUAAGAUCCAUCAAGCUUUACUCUAAAAUAAACAUGGUGUUCAACACACGUUUUGUUUUGAGGAGCUCAAGUAUUCUUCAUCUUGCAUCCCGAAGUUCAAUUCUUUCUACCUUAUCUUUUGAGAUGGUGUUAUGUCAUUCUUGACAAAUUGAGUUCGUGUUUCAUGAUUCACAUGUUGUCAAGAAUGAGAUAUUUUAAAUCCAUUAAUCUCUUCGUUGGAGUUAUCUUGGUAUAGAUUUCACCUAAAGCCUUCCCUAAGGAAUGUUGCUAUUUUUGGUGCUUAUCAUUGAUCCAAGCUUUCUCCAUAUCCUUCUCGGUGAAAGAGGUUUUCAUCUCUUCGUUGAUCUCAAACAAGCAUUUGUUUUUUCGUUAGUGGCAGAAUGUCACCUCAUAGUCUUGAGAUGUUUUUCAUAAGCCCACUACAAACUUAUUCUUUUCGUUGUUGAUUUUCCAACAACUCUGUUCAAUCCUUCUUUGCAAGGAUGCUUUCCAAAUUCAAUUGUGGUAGGAGUUGUCAUUUCCUUCUCCGUCCCUUUAUCCCAACAAUCUACUUCUGUUCUUUCGUUCCGGAGGCAUUGUGAUGUUCUGCUCUUCACUCAUCAUCUCAAAUUGUGAGGAUCAUGUUAUUUUCGUGCUUAUCCAUUUAAUCGGAGAGUUCUGUUCUCAUUCAAGUUCUUUCAUCUUAUCAAGUUUUGCCUCCUUCCUCAACCGGACAGCUGUCUGAAAUCUUUUCUUACCCCUUGUGCCAUUCUUUCAAUAGUUCCGGAGGUAGUGUGUUGUUGAUCUCAUCAAGUAUCCUCUCAUCUUGUUAAGUUCAUGUUCAAUUUCUUCCAUUUACAGUCGGAGUGCUGUCAAAAUUAUAUCAUUCUUAUUCAUUCUUAUCUAGUUUCAACCAGAGUGGUUUCAAUUCUAUCUUGUCCAUUAAACUUUUGAUUCAUGUCUUUGCAACCUUCAAGGUUCGCAUAAUGUUCCUCGUUCCUCUUUUCUAAAGGAUUGUUUGCAAUCUCAUUCAUCUCUAAUUGCUCAACCUCUCAAGGUUCAUGGUUUCACUCAUUGGUCGAAGAAGCAACUUAGUUUACCUCCUCUCUUCCUCUUCCUUUUCCCUCUGGUGCCAUCCUAGAUCUCGGGACAAGAUCCUCUCGUAGUGGUGGAGUGUUGUAACGCCCCGGAUACAACUUUCCAUAUUUGUAACUCCGACUCUUGCCUUUUCCGGAGAUGCUAUAUGAUUUUUCCUUCGUGGUUGGGUUUUUGUCUGUUGUUUUGCAUUUUGUUCUUGUUAUACAUCUUGUCUCUUAGCAUCAUGCGCAUUGCAUCGACAUCGUUUUCAUAAAACUUGCAUCCGUUCGGGUUUCCCCGGUUCUCUCCGUUGUUCGUUCUGAGCCCGACCACACUCGCAUGCGCCCGCGGCACCUCCGAAAUAUUAUUUUAUAAGUGGCAUAAAAAUGUUCUCGAAAUGGGUUGGAACUUGUCGUGCGGUCUUAAUAUAGUGUAGACAGACCGCCUGCCAUGUUUCGUCACAUUCGGAGUCCAUUUGAUAGCCAACCGUUAUAUGUAUAGUGGUACCAUUGCCGGUACCUUCGUCGGACGUUUCGGUCUCCGAAACUGCUGCCGAGCCUCUCUUUCUCUUCUCUUCUCUCAGCUCAACCCCCUCUUUGCACAACCACAGACCCCCUCGUGUGUGCGUCCGAAAUUUGUCCCGAACCCGACCCGCUCUGUCGUUACCGUUGGAUCCGAAUCAUCCCCAAACAUCCCGAAAACAUCUCCGUUUUCUUUGUUGGACUCCCCUAAGCUAAUUAUUCUCGUCCGUCUGAUUUCGAUCGGAGGGACCGGAUACCCCCCUAACCUAAUCCACCAGCCUUUAUAAACAGUCUAACCCUAAAACCUAGGGACCUUGUCCCAUCCGUCCCAUCCCCGCGCCGCCACUCUCUUCCUCGGGAUCCUCCCAGAUCCUCAUCGUCCAACCCCACACAGCCAAGCCUCCACCUUCUCCUCGAUUUCCCCCAUCCGCCACUCCUCUGCUCGAUCUCCCCUGUCACCCAAUCCAUCGAUCCCCUCCAACCAGAGCCCUCUCAUGGCCUCCCGCUCGAGGACCCUGCGGCCUCAAGCCUCCCGUGCCCGAGCUCCUUCUCCUCUUCGAGCCGAGGCUCCAUGCAGCCUCGCGUCCCGCAGCUCGCCCGUCCUCGGAGCUCCCUGCCGCGGUGCUCCCCUUCUCCGUCGUCGCCCACCUCCAACCUCGACGCCGCCACCACGUCCUGACCGCGCCGCGCCCGAGGCCCUGCCUUCUCCUCGUCCGCAUCGACCGAAGCCAGCAGAUGAGCCCCGUCGCACCCUCUUCUUCCCCCGUUUUCCUCCUCUCUGUACCUCGUCUCUCUCUCGUUCUCUAUGUACCAGGAUCCAUGCCGCCUCGAUCCCCUUCGGCAGCAGCCUCGCCGCCAGCCUCCUGCCAUCGCCCAGAUCCGCAGCCGUCCCGCCGGAGUUCCUCGCGCCCUGCUGGCCUGCUUCGUCCUCUGCACCGCGCCUGCCCCCUGCCUCGAACUGCUGCUUCUGUUUUCUUCAGAAAACGAGAGCAGCGCUGCAUCGAGCGCCUGCUCGAUCCAUCCGCUCGCCCGCGUUGACCCGUCGCCCGCCAGCGUGGACAAGCCCCAGAUCCAGCGCCCCUGUGGGCCUCCCUUCCUGCCAGAUCUGGCCCUGUGGCCUGCCUUGGCCUCCUCACCGAUGGGCUGAAGCCCAUGGUGAGCGCCCCAGCGCCCCUCCUCGGCCCAGUCUCCUCCGCGGCCUGCCCCAGCAGCCCCAGCCAAGCCAGCCCCUCUCCACCGAACCGGGCCUUGGCCCAGGGUGAGCAGACCCCCCAGCCCUCUCCUGUAUGCUGUUGGCCCAGCAGAUUUGGCCCUUGCAUGUUUUUUUCUUGCUGCGAAUUUAACCUUAUCCAGAAAAACUGCAUGUUUACAGAUUAACCCUUAAUGUUCAUGCAUCAAUAAUUAAUUAACCAUGCAUCGGAUUAAAACAAAUUAUAUAUGUAAAAUGCUCAGAAAAUUGUGUAGAUUAAUAAUAUGCCAUUUUCAUCUAUGUUUAAAAUGUUUAAAUUGAUGUUUGCAUUAAUUUGCUAAUAUGCCAUGUUAAAAUGAUUUAUUUCAUAACUAAAUAACCGUAACUCCGAUUUUAAUAAACUUUAUAUGUAAAUGGGGUGGAAAAAUGCCUAGUUUAACAUGGUCCACUUUAUUUUCCUGUUUAACAACCUUCAAAUAUGGUUUAGGACAGAACAGUACCAAAACUAGAAUAUGGACAUGAGGAUUUUCCGGACUUGUUGUUCGUUAUUCCGGCCUCAUUUAAACUUGUCUAGAUAGGUAGUUUUUUCAUAUGCUUCACCCCUUGCCAUGUUUAACAACAUUUAAUAUUGUUGUGUACCUAAACGAGAGAGAACUAAAUAAUCGAUGUGGUGUUCCGUCAAUAUGCAACUCGUUGCAUAUUGAGCUCCACUAACUUGUAGUAUUGUUUGUUGCACUUUGCCAUGCCAUGCCUCAUUUAAACUGGACAUGCAUCAUACUUGUUUGUGCAUCAUGCCAUGUUUAUGCUUGUGCAUUUACCAUGUUGUUUGUUUCUUUCCGGUGUUGCUUCUUAGUUCCGGUAAUGUUGCGAUUGUGAGGAUUCGUUCGACUAUGUCCGUUCGUCUUCUUCAUGGACUCGUUCUUCUUCUUUGCAGGAUUUCAGGCAAGAUGACCGCUACCCUGGAUCUCACUACUAUCAUUGCUAUGCUAGUUGCUUCGUUCUAUCGCUAUGCUACGUUACCUAUUACCUGUUUAUCGAGCCAUCCCAUAUUGCCAUGAACCUCUAACCUUUGACACCUUUCCUAUGCAAACCGUUGCUUGGCUAUGUUACCGCUUUGCUCAGCCCUCUUAUAGCGUUGCUAGUUGCAGGUGAAGUUGAAGAUUUCUCCAUGGUGGACAGGAUUUUGGUUGGGAUAUCACAAUAUCUCUUAUAUUAUUAAUGCAUCUAUAUACUUGGUAAAGGGUGGAAGACUCGGCCUUUUGCCUAGUGUUUUGGUCCACUCUUGCCGCCCUAGUUUCCGUCAUACCGGUGUUAUGUUCCCGGAUUUUGCGUUCCUUACGCAGUCGGGUGAUUUAUGGGACUCCCUCGACAGUUCGCUUUGAAUAAAACUCCUCCAGCAAGGCCCAACCUUGGUUUUACCAUUCGCCUCACCACCACCUUUGUUUUCCCUUGGGUCGGCCAACCCGAGGGUCAUCUUUAUUUUAGCCCCCCCGGGCCAGUGCUUGUCUAAGUGUUGGUUCGAACUGAGCCGCCUGCGGGGCCACCUCGGGGAAACUUGAGGGCUGGUUUUACUCGUAGCCUAUCUCAUCCGGUGUUGCCCUAAGAUCGACAUAUGUGCAGCUCCUAUCGGGAUUGUCGGCGCAUCGGGCGGUCUUGCUGGUCUUGUUUUACCAUUGUCAAAAUGUCUUGUAAACCGGGAUUCCGAGUCUGAUCGGGUCUUCCUGGGAGAAGGUCUAUUCCUUCGUUGAUCGCGAGAGCUUGCCAUGGGCUAAGUUGGGACACCCCUACAGGGUAUAAUCUUUCGAGAGCCGUGCCUGCGGUUAUAGGCAGAUGAGAAUUUGUUAAUGUCCGGUUGUAGAUAACUUGACACCAGAUCUGAUUUAAAACGCAUCAACCGUGUGUGUAGCCAUGAUGGUCUCUUCUCGGCGGAGUCCGGGAAGUGAACACUGUUUCUGGGUUAUGUUUGACCUAAGUAGGAGUUCAGGAUCACUUCUUGAUCAUUACUAGUUGACGACCGUUCCUCUUGUUCUCUUCUCGCUCUUCUUUGCAUAUGUUAGCCACCAUAUAUGCUUAGUCGCUACUGCAACCUCACCACUUUACCCCUUCCUUUCCUAUUAAGCUUUGCUAGUCUUGAUACCCAUGGUAAUGGGAUUGCUGAGUCCUCGUGGCUCACAGUUUACUACAACAACAGUUGCAGGUACAGGUUAUUCAAUGAUCAUGAUGCGAGAGUGAUGCUUGCUUGCGUUGAGUUCUUCUUCUGCUUCUUCUUCGAUCAGGGGAUAGGUUCCAGGUCGGCACCCUGGGCUAGCAGGGUGGAUGUCGUUUGAGUUUCUGUUUGUGAUUCAUCCGUAGUCGGAUGAUGCUCUGAUGUAUUGUGAUGUUGUAUUCGUGUGGCAUUGUAUGCCUUAUGUAUGUAUCCCCAUCUAUUAUGUAAUGUUGAUGUAAUGAUAUCCACCUUGCAAAAGCGUUUCAAUAUGCGGGUCUAUCCUUGGUGGGACCUUCGAGUUCCUUUUGGAUAGGGUCACAUAUUGGGCGUGACAAAGAGAGACUCUCUAGAUUUGCCACUGCUACUGCUAAUGAAGUUGAAGUCCCAAGUCUACAUGAUGAGUUCAUCUCCCGUACUCCACCAUCGCAGGUGCUUGCUCUAAGUUGACAGUGUGAUAAUUGGUUUCAUGUUGACUAUGUUGUCUAGCCUGUAUUUUUUCUAUUUUGAUUAAAUUGCACCUGCCGAGUUUAUAUGUUAUACAUGUGCAUAUGACAUGGCUUUCUGUGUCUAGAAUACACUGCAUCUAUCUAUCAUACCAUGUUCUUACAUCAAAGUACUGCUAUUGUGUAUCCCGCAUCAGUCACUCAUGAUUGGACGCUUUUAAC